AACAUAAGGCUGAGUCACUAAUCAAAAACCUCACAAGCAAGAAAACCCAAGAACUAAUUUUCUUCAUCUUCUCCUUGUGAGUUCAGAUGUCAACUGAGAAGGCAUCUGGUAAACUAUGCCUUCACCAAAUUCACCUGUAUUACAGUUAUUAUCAUCACAGCAUGUCUGGAGGUGCACUGUCUACCAUCAGAAGGAUGCUUAAGGACCCCGUGAAUUGAAG
rnacentral:lncRNA from 1 species